UUGUCUCUUAGAUUCUUUCCUUCCCAGCUCCUCCACCACCACCACUCCCUAUUGGUGAAAUUGGCACAUGUCAAAGAGCUAACAAAGGGAUCUUCCUAAAAGGCGUCAUUGUGUGCCCAAAGGGUUUCUGGACUUGGACAUCAUGGUGGACUGGUACAAUUGUCUGCUUAUACAGACUUGCUGGAGCAUAAUAGUUCCACAAAGACCAUUCUCCAAAUAGUGAACCCAGAAGCCUUCACUUAUGACUUCAAUAAAAAUUCACCAAUGGAACAGAAUAGAUAGCCCAGAAAUAAUGCCACACACCUACAACCAUCUGAUCUUCCACAAAAUCAACAAAAACAAGCAAUGGGGAAAGGACUCCCUAUUCAAUGAUUGGUGCUGGAAUAACUGGCUAGCCAUAUGCAGAAGAUUGAAACUGGACCCCUUCCUUACACCAUAUACAUGAAUCAACCUAAGAUGGAUCAAAGACUUAAAUGUAAAGCCUAAAACUAUAAAAACUCUCGAGGAUAACAUAGAAAAUACCAUUCUGGAUAUAGGACCUGGCAAAUAUUUCAUGAUGAAGACACCAAAACCAACUGCAACAAAAACAAAAAUUGACAAAUGGGACUGGAUUAAAGAAAGAACUUCUGCACAGCAAAAGAAACUCUCAACAGUGUAAACAGACAACCUGCAGAAUGGGAGAAAAUUUUUGCAAACUAUGCAUCCAACAAAGGCCCUCUAAUAUCCAGAAUCUAUGAGGAACUUAAACAAAUUUACAACCGAGAAACAAACAACCUCAUUAAAAAGUGGGCAAAGGACAUGAACAGACACUUUUCAAAAAAAGCAUACAUCCAGCCAACAAGCAUAUGAAAAAAUGCUCAUCAUUAGAGAAAUGCAAAUCAAAACCACAAUGAGAUAUCAUCUCACACCAGUCAGAAUGGCUAUUAUUAAAGAGUCAAAAAACAACAGAUGCUGGUUAGGUCAUGUAGAAAGGGAAUACUUAUACACUGCUGGUAGGAAUGUAAAUUAGUUCAGCCAUUGGGGAAAGCAGUUUGGCAAUUUCUCAAAGAACUUAAAACAGAAUUUCUAUUUGACCCAGCAAUCACAUUGUUGGGUAUAUACCAAAGAAAUAUAAAUCUUUCUACCACAAAGACACAUGCACACAUAUGUUAAUCACAGCACCAUUCACAAUAGCAAAGAUGUGGAAUCAACCUAAAUGUCCAUCACUGGUAGACUGGAUAAAGAAAAUGUGGUACAUAUUCACUGCAUAGCAUUCCACAGUUUUUACAAUGUUUGGUUAAAGGGCCCUUUUACAAUAUUUGGACUAGGUUAAGGUAAGUCAACAAGGGAUGAUCAAGCUCCCCAGGACUAGCAACAACCAGGAGUGUUACCCUUCCUAGGCCUGGGGGCCAUGGGAAGGAAGAGUUACUGAGAAAUGGUGAGAGCUUUGACUAUAGGAAGGCACCACCCUGAAGAAGCCAUUGUAAAAAGGCCUUUUAAUUACUUCUUUAAGAGUGCCAUCUGUUUCUUGCUGGGACCUUCCAACACAUGACUUUUUCCAACCUUACUGAUCACUCACUACUCUUCUUACCAGACCCCACAUUCCAGCCACAGUUUCAUCCCCUUUCAUGUUCUAAUACCGUUGUUUCUAUUGUACCUUUUUCUCUUUUCUUUGAAUGCCUUUCCCCUUCCUUGGCCAGACUCUCACACAAGCUAAAAAUCUGAACUCAAAUGUCACCUUCUCCAGGAAGACCUCUCUGACUUUUGCCCUGCCAUCACAUAAUUACCCACACAGAGUUAGGUGCUCCUCCUAUAUGCUGCCAUCACAGCCCAAAUCCUAGUGUUUAAUUAUCAUCUAUGACUAUGUCUGCAUCUCCAUGGUGAGCAGAAUGAUGGCCUCCCAAAGAUGUUAGAUCCUAAUCCCCAGAACCUGUGGAUUUGUUGGACUACAUGGUAAGGGUAAUCAAGGUUGCUAAUCAGCUGACUUUAAGAUGAGGGGAUGAUCUUGGAUUACCCAGGUGAGCUCAGUGUAAUCAUGAGGGUACUUAGACAUGUAAGGGGGAAGCAGAAAAGUAAGAACUAAGGAUAUGGCCAUUGGAGAAAGACUUUACUGGCUAGUGGCUAGUGCUGCCUUUGGAGAUGGAGGAGGGGGCCCCAAGCCAAGGAAUGUGGACAGCCUUUAGAAGCAAGAAAAGGCAAGAAGCAGAUUCUCCCUGAAAGAGUCUAGAAGGAAGACAACCCUGCCUGCAUCUUCACUGUAGACCAGUGAUACCCAUUUGGACUUCAGACCUCCAGAAUUCUAAGAUAAAAAACUGCGUCAUUUAAGUCACUACAUUUGUGGUAAUUUGUUAACAGCAGCAAUAGAAAAUGAAUAAAAUCCCCCAGUAGACAGUCAGAUUCUUGAGUGCAGGAAUCAUGUCUUUGUGUCUUCCAAGCUCCUCUAGCAAAACUUGUCUUACAGUGGUUCUCAAAUAUAUUUCUCGAAGAAAAGAUAGGAUGCAAAAUUAUCUGGCUCACCCAUGUUUUCUGAAUCCUUCUGGGUCUAUGGUCCAUGUAGCAAUAGUUUAUCUGUAGGAAGAGAUCUGCAUUUGCUUAUAAAAUUUUUAAAAAUAGCUUUCACUUAUCAAUCUACCAUAUAAUCAUUGAGAAAAAUUACUUAACUAGUUUCCAAGGAGAACAAGGAUACAGGAAUGUGAAGGCACUCAUGAUGUCCUCCAUCUCAGGAAAGCAGCUGUAGUAUCAGUGUCCUGCCUCAGGACAUGCCCAGCUCCCCGGAUAGGCAGGAAAAAAAGAAAGUGUUCCUUCCUCCAGAGCAGCUGGCCCUGGUUUUGGCUGAAUCUGGAUCCCUGGGCCUCACGGGCACUGCUUGCUACAGUUCGGCAGGGGCCUCCAGCCCUGGCAUUUCCAGAGGUCUGUGCUGUUACUAGUCUGGAGCAGAUACCUCCUAUCAUCACCAUAAUCUUGUUCUUAUGGCAGCAUCAACAACAGAUGAUCUGCAAAUCCCACAGCCUGUUCAUGAAACGAAAGCUAGUGCCUUGAUUUAGAGCCCCUUUGACUUUGCUCAGAGCCCUGAGCCAAGAGCCCUGAGGUGUAGUCUGGCUCUGCUUCCAACCUCCUAUGUGACCUUGAUUGAUUUCCUUACCUAGCAAGUGAAAGGGGUAAACUUCUGUGGUCACUGUGAGCUCCUGCAUUCUAAGAGUUUAUAACAAUUAUACAAUCCCCAAACACAUUGAUGCUUAGAAAAUGCCAGUGACAAACUGUCCCCUCUAAAAAGGGCAUUUCACUGGGACAGAAAAUAAAAGCUAGAACCUGAGAAAGGAAGAAAAGAAAGGAGAGAGAGAAGGAUGGAGGGAAGGCAGCUGGGAAGAGGUAGGAAGAAAGGAGAAUUUAUUGAGCACCUUUCACCUGUCUCAGCCUCUUUCACUUGUCUACCAGCCCCUUUCACCUGUCUCAGCUCAUCAACAUUCCAGACCAGAGCCUCACAAAAUUUUCCACCAAAGUACCUCUGACCUUGAAAGAGAGUGAUACAAACCUCUGGGAAUCAAGCCUAUAAAGUAGGAAAUCUGAAGUCUCAUUUUAUCUUAAAAAUAAUGUGAAUUUUCUGUUCUACGCCAUAAACAGGGGUUUUAUUUCUUCUAUAGAAUAAAGCUCUUGCUACAGGAAAAUGCAGCAUGUUAACCCUGUGUUAUGCAAACCCCAGCCCACUUUCGUUUCUCUCUGAGAUAGAACAUUCUAGUUUUGGAGGUAGGAACCUGAAGUUGAAAGGCAAGAUUUAUUCCUCUAGCCCACCAAGGUCAUGAGAAAACUGGGAUGUUACCUGAUUUAUUACAGCCAGAGAAACCAAGCAAAAAAAUAAAAUUCAACUAGCCUAAAAAUGUUGUCUUUGGAAAACAAGAAUGCUCAUUUUACUGGGGCAGUUCUACCUGCCCAGCAGUCUGUGCCAGGAGAGAGGCCGUGUCUGCUUUUAACUCUGUUUCCAGCAGUGAGGCACAUUAAUACCCUAUUUGCAGCAGUGUCAGCAACUUGGAAAGGCAGAUUUGGGAGUGUUUAUUUUCAAAAGCAGUAGAAAUCAGAAAGAAAGGAAGCAAAAGUGCUAGGAAAUAGAGACCACAUGCUCAGGGGUUAUGCAGGAGGGCCUAGCCAGAGAGAAGGACUUAGAUGCUACCAGAGGAAAAGAUGGGACUUGGCCAUGGACCCCGUAAAGUAAGGAGGCAGCACCACAUGAGACUCCUGGAAAGCCAACCAGGGCCAAGUCUAGAUGUAAAGGAGUUGUUGUUAUGAGUGGAGAAAGCCCCAUACACUAUCCUCAGGACAGCUGGGAGGUGAAAAUGAACUUGUAAAUACCUGCCUUAUGAUUAGUGCAAGUGUUUGCUAGUAUUAUUAUUAUUAUUAUCAUCAUCACCACCAUCAUAUGUCAGGAGUGAGGUCACCUUCUUUUGUAGCAAAAUCAACCUUCAGGAGCAGACUUCAAAACUGGGCAGAAGAUAGGAGACAGAAACGGAAGCUGUAUUUGCAAAACUACAGGGGUCUUGAGGAAAAGCUUGAAAAUUAUUGAAGCCACUGAAAGGAGACUGGGAAGGGGUCUUUUCUUCUAGGUAGGAGUUAAGACUCGGAGGAUUCAAAAUGAUGCUGAGUUACAAAGAGAUGGAACAUCAUGAAACUAGAAUUGGCAAGAAGAGCAAGUAACAGGGAAGAGGGAAGGGCAACAUGACCUAGGACUUAAGCUCAUGGAUAUAGGUUUGACUCUUGACUAGCACAUCUGGUUAUGUGACUUUUGGCAAGCCAGCGAAGGAGAUACAGAGCUCAUCUAGAGACGCUUGUAUCUACUCAAGUCCUGCCACCUUGGAGGUCUACUAGGACCAUUUUCUACAGAUGCUUGGAGUCAUAUGAUCUACUCUAAGCAAAUUCUGACUGAGGUACGACAGGAGGGAUCCAGGUUCUGUGAGGCCUGAAAACAAUACGGUUAUUGUAAGGAUUAAGAGAGACAAUAUAUGUAAUCUUUGGCUUGAUGCUUUGCACAAUGUAAGGACUCAAUAAACAACAGUUACCUAAGGGAUAGGUCAUGAAGCAAGGAGUCCAGUGAGGAUAUUCCCUCAACAGUGUGGGCCAGAGAUGAGAAAGCUUACACUGGCACUGUUGUUUGGCAGCAAAGAUGGAGAUGGAGAAGGUGGAACAGUGCUGGAAGAAAUUAAGAGGACAGGAAUAGUAGGGUGUGCUUGAUGAUUGGAUUCAGAGGAUGAUUUGAGAAGUGGGAAGAGGGAAGUGCCAGCCAAAAAACUGAGGAAGAACAAACAGAGCACCAAGCAUCAAGUAGUGAUCACUGAAUGACUCAAUACUGCCCAGCAUGGACACACCUAGGAAAUGUUAGCCAAAGAAAUGUUAUAAUUGUCUAAGUGUAUAAAUGUCAAAUGAAGGGGGCAAUGUAUAAAUUUUAUUUUAAAAAUAAAUAUUUUUAUUCAUA
rnacentral:lncRNA from 1 species